AGGUGGUGCAUGGCUGUCGUCAGCUCGUGUCGUGAGAUGUUGGGUUAAGUCCCGCAACGAGCGCAACCCACGUCUUUAGUUGCCAGCAUUCAGUUGGGCACUCUAGAGAGACCGCCGGUGACAAACCGGAGGAAGGUGUGGAUGACGUCAAGUCAUCAUGCCCCUUACGUCCUGGGCUACACACGUACUACAAUGCUACGGACAAAGGGCAGCAAGUUCGCGAGGACAAGCAAAUCCCAUAAACCGUGGCUCAGUUCAGAUCGUAGGCUGCAACUCGCCUACGUGAAGGAGGAAUCGCUAGUAAUCGCAGGUCAGCAUACUGCGGUGAAUACGUUCCCGGGCCUUGUACACACCGCCCGUCACA
rnacentral:rRNA from 1 species